rnacentral:lncRNA from 1 species
UUCGGCCGCCGAACAUGGAAAGGUUUCGGGAGUGCCUUUGGCCUCCGAAAGCCUUGUUUGAAUGAACCAAGGUUCGGCCGCCGAACCUCAAGUUCGGCCGCCGAACAUGCAUGAGUUUAGGGGGCACGUUAGGCUGCCGAAGGUGGUUCAACAGGCCACCUAUAAAGAGCCCUCAGAUCGGAAAUGGGCGAGUUUUCUCCCCAUUCUCGAGCUCAGGUGAGUUUAGGUCCUCCUUUGGUCGUUUUCAUGUUUUUCUCUACC